rfam:Sus scrofa chromosome 6.
GUCUAUGGCCAUACCACUCUGAAUGCCCCCGAUCUCGUCUGAUCUCGGAAGCUAAGCAGGGUUGGACCUGGUUAGUACUUGGAUGGGAGAAGUACAGGGUGCCAGGAGUU